UGGGUUUUUUUUUCAUCUUUUUUUUCUUUUUUCAUCUUUUUUUUUUCUCACUUCUAGAGCUUAGGUUUUUGAAUUUUGGAAAAAGAGAGGUGUUACAGAGAGAGCACAAGGGACAUGGCCUUCGGUUGUUACAAACUCCGGCCGAUUACUGAGCAGCGGCGGAAUGUUAAUUUUGAGCCCUAAAUCUCAAAUAAGAAAUUUGUGCUGAAUAGAUUUAGGGUUUAUUAGUGAUUGAAGAAGUUGUGUUUUUCUCUCUAAGACGAUCGUGACUUUGAUUUGAUGUAUUUGUUGUGGUGGAACACCCAUCUUCGCUGGGUUUGGUCGAUCAGGUGGUUUGAAGUGAUGAUGGUUUCGUCAUGAAACACCGACGGAGACGGCGUUAGGGUUCACGAUUAGGGUUUCAUGCCUUCUUCAGCUGACUGCGUUCUUCUCCAGAGACACCACAUGUUUGUUUCACACCCAAAGAAAGAGAGAGAUGGAGACGCGCUCGGAUUUUAAACACAACGGUUUUGCGGCAGCGGUGGGUCGGAAUCGGAGAUCUGGCAGCUGUGCUCCACGGUAGACACAUCUAUAUAUCUCAACCGAGUCAGCUUUAGCUUCGUGCGCACAUUGAUCUAUGGUAUGAUUAAAGGAGUUGUUUUUAAUUUCUUUUGUUAAUUGGUGUGAUUAUUUAUGUGUUUUUGUUUGAUUAAUGAUUAUGAUGGUUGAUUGAAGAUAAGUGUAAUUGUAUUUGUGAGUAUGUUUAUGUGAUAUUGGGUUUUAGGGGCUGCCUUAAUUUUGAUAUGAUUUGGGGUUUGUAGUUUAUUUAAGCUAUUGAAUCUGUGUUUCUAAAUUGAAAUGGAAGAGUACUGUGUUACGGAAGUAAGUUUAUGCAAACUUGUACAUAUGUAAUACUUUCAUGCUUGAACUCAGCUAUAAAUAGUUCCUUUACUACCCACAUAGUAGCAGGUGUGUCUGAUAUAUUUAUUAUCUGGUGAGGAAAAAUGGAUUAUGAUUCUUUAAAAGAUCCAAAGUUGUCAAAUGAUGCCAAUAAAUUAAGGCAUCAAAAAAUAUUUUUCUAUGAUGUGGAGGUGACAAGGAAAACGAACUUCUUUUAGGGACGUAAGUGGAGGUCUCUUGACAUUAAAGUGGCAGAUAGAAUUUUGUUUCUAUACGUUUUGGCACUUUUUGCUCAAUAUACGUUCAGUUGGGAUGCUUUUUCGACGACAUUUCUGCUAUACCUUUUAAUUGGGAUAUUGGGUAUAACCAUGUGUUACCGCAGGCUUCUAGCGCACCAUAGUCUCAAGCUACCUAAAUGGCUUGAAUACACAUGUGCUUAAUUGGGAGUUCAAGCUAUCCAGGUAUAUAACCUUUUUAGUUUGGUUUUAUAAUGGUUAAUUCUUUCUGGUCCCUCCAUUUGGAUAUACAUUAUUGUACAUAAUUGGCUUGUAAUUUUAACAAAAGACUCAGUGAUUUUUGUAGGGAUCCAAUAUAUUGGGCGAGUAUCCAUAGGUAUCAUCAUUAGUAUGUUGAUUUGGAGAAUGAUCCACAUACUCUCCCACUUAUGGAUUUUGUUUAGUCACAUGGGCAGUGGCGGACCCAGGUUUUUUUUUUCAAUGGGGUUCCUUUUUUGGGUGUUCGAAUUUUUCACAACCAAACAUUAGAUAUUUUCGGGUCGGUCGCGGUUCGGGUCCGGUCGGGUCGCACAUAAAAAUACAAUAUUAUAAUACAAAUAUAGGAUCAUUACUUGUUAGAAAAAUACAAUAACAAUACGAUGUCGUUCGAAAUAAAUAAAAAUAAUACUAAAAAUUUCAAGUAAGUUGUAUGUCAUAUUAUAUUUUCUCUAUUCUUAGUAGGGCUGUUCAAAAAGCUCGCGGCUCGGAUUUAGCUCGGAAAAAGCUCGUUCGAUUUGGCUCGGUUUAAAAGUGAGCCGUGUCACACCCCUUUCUGCGGCGGAAGCACGAGGUGUGAUCAUGAAAGGUUCUCAUUGCAUACGAAAGUACAAGGAACAUAAAAAUGUAGAAGAUUUAGAAAGCCAAGCGUUCUAUAGGUUCCACCGCUUUUCAUCGGGCUAGAGAAAGAGAUAGGGUUGCAGCAUAGAGAGAUAGAAAGCUAGAUAGAUCUUUCAUGAAGAAACAAGAAUCACACACCAAUGUAUUAGAUGAAUUCCGGCGAUGAAGAUGAUGAUGGUAGUUGUAUCAGUGGAGCGUUGGUAGUGCCUGCUAAUAGAGGUGAUGGUAACAUGUUUGAGACGAGUGGUGGUGACAGUAAAGGCUUUGAUCGCUUCCAGCGAGUUUUUCGACUAUCAUCGGCUGACUACUAGAAGAGGAGAUGACCUAAGUCGCCAAGGAUAGAAGGCGUGACGACACCAACUUUCGUGCGAAGAUUAACAUGCAGGGAUCUUUUGAUGUUUGGUAUCAAAGUAUGUAAACAUUAAACACACAAACCAUACAUGUGACGCGGGAAAUCUAAAAACAACGUAUUAAUGGUUUA